rnacentral:lncRNA from 1 species
UGCCAUGCCUGUCAUCACUGAUCCGUAAUCGUGACAAUGGAGACACAAUUGGAGAUGGAGAUGGCCUGUUGACUUCAGCAGAUACAGGUACAUUCUUUAAAGCAUGAGUUCUUUCCAAUCCCAAAUCUGGUACAAAACCAGCUCCCAGGUCCAACUGAAAAUUAUCAAGUGACUCAGACACAGGCCCAAGCAAGGACACUGGGUCAGGAACAUAGCAUGGGUCUUCAAAUAGUUCUGGAUCUUCAGACAUGAAUUCAUGGGUUCCUUCACCAGCAUGAGGAAACAAGGGAUCAAUUGCAGAAGGAAAACCAGAACUACUACUAGUUGAUCCAUUUGGAAAGGUAGGCAGAUUGAACA